rnacentral:rRNA from 1 species
CCUACGGGUGGCUGCAGUGAGGAAUAUUGGUCAAUGGACGAGAGUCUGAACCAGCCAAGUAGCGUGAAGGAUGACUGCCCUAUGGGUGGUAAACUGAUUUUAUAGGGGAAUAAAAUGUGCCACGUGUGGGAUUUUGUAUGUACCAUAUGAAUAAGGAGCGGCUAACUCCGUGCCAGCAGACGCGGUCAUACGGAGGAUCCGAGCGUUAUGCGGAUGUAGUGGGUUUACAGGGAGCGUAGGUGUGUUGUUAAGUCAGUUGUGAAAGUUUGCGGCGCAACCGUAAAAUUGCAGUUGACACUGGCAGUCUUUCGUACAGUAGAUGUGGGCGGAAUUCGUGGUGUCGCGGU